AUUUGGGAAAUGUGCUUAUGUACUUUCUUAAUGAGAACCAUAAAUUCUCAUUUGUGUAAAGUCAGCCUGAGUUGUGGUGAUAAUUCCUGCAGUCCUUUCGUCACUGAGCUUCACAGGGAGCCAACAGGAGCUCUUUAUAUGCCAGGCCAGUUACUGAAGUUAUUCCAAACACGGUCUGUUGGUGUGCUUUUAAAAGUAACACGCAUCACUGGCUGUGCAUAAGACAAUGCCGACUUGUGUUGUGUACAAAGUACAUUUUAAUUACAAACAUAACAGUUGUUAAAUAGUUAAAAUCUCCAUAAAACCACAACACAUACUCACACAUCAAGUACAGUGUAAUAUAUUCACUAUAUAAAAAUAGCAGGAAAAAAAAAUGUAUAUUUAUGUUUAUUGUACCUGUUUGUUUCGCCAGUAUAUCACGCCAUUUACCUGGAAGACCUCACAGCCGCUGAGCUGACAGAGAAGGUUGCUCAGCUCUUCAACAUCUCACCCAGACAGAUAAACCAGAUCUUUAAACAGGGUCCCACUGGCAUCCAUGUGUUGGUCAGUGAUGAGAUGAUUCAGAACUUCCAGGACGAAGUAUGUUUUGUUUUGGACACAAUGAAAGGUAUUUGAGUGUGAGAAUAUUAAAUGAUCAUGAUCGUU